UAGUGACAACUUUUCCUGCCUGGGAACAGACUCCUGAGGCCAUGUCAGGAGAAUGACAGCUCUGCCCUGCUGCGGGGAGCUCCGUCAAGGCCUGGUCUGAAGCACCGGUCUGACAGAUGUGAUGUACCAAUGCUUCCUGCUCCCGUUUAUCAAAAGACCAUCGCUUUUCUGGAUCCCAAGAGAUAUAAGGACAAGUUCAACUUGCGUCGUCCUUCUCAAUUUCCUUAGCUGACAUGUAACUUACAGUUGGAUGCAUCAUAAUCUUCUACAAGAAAAGAAGUAACAAAAAUAUAGGCCCGGCAUUGGGAACCACUAACCCGCAGGUGGAGGUGUCAAUGUGUUCUUGUCUGCUCCUAAG